rnacentral:rRNA from 1 species
UACGUAGGGUGCGAGCGUUAAUCGGAAUUACUGGGCGUAAAGCGUGCGCGGGCGGUGAGCUGUGUCCGAUGUGAAAGCCCCGGGCUUAACCUGGGAAUGGCAUUGGAAACUGGCUCGCUGGAGUGUGGCAGAGGGGGGUGGAAUUCCGCGUGUAGCAGUGAAAUGCGUAGAGAUGCGGAGGAACACCGAUGGCGAAGGCAGCCCCCUGGGCUAACACUGACGCUCAGGCACGAAAGCGUGGGGAGCAAACAGG